CAUAGCGGAGGAAAAGAAACCAACAGGGAUUGCCCCAGUAACGGCGAGUGAAGCGGCAAAAGCUCAAAUUUGAAAUCUGGCUCCUCCCGGGGUCCGAGUUGUAAUUUGAAGAGGAUGCUUUGGGUGCGUCCGCGGCGUAAGUCCCUUGGAACAGGGUGUCAUAGAGGGUGAGAAUCCCGUCUUGAGUCGCCGGCGCGCGCCCGUUUAAAGCUCCUUCGACGAGUCGAGUUGUUUGGGAAUGCAGCUCUAAGUGGGUGGUAAAUUUCAUCUAAAGCUAAAUAUUGGCCGGAGACCGAUAGCGAACAAGUAGAGUGAUCGAAAGGUUAAAAGCACCUUGAAAAGGGAGUUAAAUAGCACGUGAAAUUGUUGAAAGGGAAGCGCUUGCCGCCAGACUCGAGCGCGGAGGCUCAGCGGGUAUUGUUAUGCCCGUGCACUCCUCCGCGCCCGGGCCAGCAUCAGUUUUGGCGGCCGGUCAAAGGCCCCCGGAAUGUAUCGUCCUCCGGGACGUCUUAUAGCCGGGGGUGCAAUGCGGCCAGCCGGGACUGAGGAACGCGCUUCGGCACGGAUGCUGGCGUAAUGGCGGUAAGCGGCCCGUCUUGAAACACGGACCAAGGAGUCUAACAUCCACGCGAGUGUUCGGGUGUCAAACCCGUCCGCGCAGUGAAAGCGAACGGAGGUGAGAGCCCCUGGGGGCGCAUCAUCGACCGAUCCUGAAGUCUUCGGAUGGAUUUGAGUAAGAGCGUGGCUGUUGGGACCCGAAAGAUGGUGAACUAUGCCUGAAUAGGGUGAAGCCAGAGGAAACUCUGGUGGAGGCUCGCAGCGGUUCUGACGUGCAAAUCGAUCGUCAAAUUUGGGUAUAGGGGCGAAAGGACUAAUCGAACCAUCUGGUAGCU
rnacentral:rRNA from 1 species